UCUUUGUGGGCUCUGGCUCAUAUUACUUGAGCAAAUUUAAGGUGAUUCACAAUAACUAAUCGAAUCGCAGAGACAUUUAUGUCGGCGAUGAUACAUACAAAUUUCUUACUUAUCAACUGUCGACGGUCGUAUAGAGGACUACCGUGGUGAUAACGAGUAACGGGGAAUUAGGGUUCGAUUCCGGAGAGGGAGCCUGAGAAAUGGCUACCACUUCCAAGGAAGGCAGCAGGCGCGCAAAUUACCCAAUCUCAAUUCGAGGAGGUAGUGACAAGAAAUACCAAUACAAGACCAAUGGUUUUGUGUUUGGAAUGAGUGUAAUUUAAAAUCCUUAUCAAGGAACAACUGGAGGGCAAGUCUGGUGCCAGCAGCCGCGGUAAUUCCAGCUCCAGUAGUGUAUACUAAAGUUGCUGCAGUUAAAAAGCUCGUAGUUGGAUUUCGGUUAAUAGGGAGUUGGUCUACAUUUUUAUAUGUACGCACCGGCAACUUAUUUCCUUCUUUCGAUAUAUACUAUUUUUAAUAGUGUUAUCGAUCUUUUACUUUGAAAAAAUUAGAGUGUUCAAAGCAGGCGUAACAAAGCCUUUGAAUAUAUUAGCAUGGGAUAAUGAAAUAAGACUUUUUGGCUUAUUCUCGUUGGUUCUAUUUUAGGCCUUAGGUAAUGAUUAAUAGGGAUAGUUGGGGUCAUUAGUAUUUAGAUGUCAGAGGUGAAAUUCUAAGAUUUUCUAAAGACUAACUAGUGCGAAAGCAUUUGACAAGGAUGUUUUCAUUAAUCAAGAACGAAAGUUGGGGGAUCGAAGAUGAUCAGAUACCGUCGUAGUCUCAACCAUAAACUAUGUCGACCAAGGAUUCGGAGGUGUUGUAUUAUGAAUGACCCCCCGAGCACUUAUAGAGAAAUCAUAAGUAUUUGGAUUCCGGGGGGAGUAUGGUCGCAAGGCUGAACUUAAAGGAAUUGACGGAAGGACACCACCAGGAAUGGAAUAUGCGGUUUAAUUUGACCCAACACGGGAAAACUUACCAGGUCCAGACACAGUAAGGAUUGACAGAUUGAGAGCUCUUUCUUGAUUUUGUGGGUGGUGGUGCAUGGCCGUUUCUAGUUGGUGGAGUGAUUUGUCUGGUUAAUUCCGUUAACGAGCGAGACCUUAACCUAUUAAAUAGUUACACGAACUUGGAUUUAUUUCCACUUUUGUUCGUGGAUAACUUCUUAGAGGGACUCUUCACGUAAAGAGUGAAUGGAAGUUUGAGGCAAAAACAGGUCUGUGAUGCCCUUAGAUGUUCUGGGCUACACGCGUGUUACACUGAUACAUUCAACAAGCAUUAUUAUUCCUUGCCCGAUGGGGCUGGGUAAUCUUUUAAAUGUGUAUCGU
rnacentral:rRNA from 1 species